UGGUGCGGUCAUACCAGCGCUAAUGCACCGGAUA
rnacentral:rRNA from 1 species